rnacentral:rRNA from 1 species
AUUGAACGCUGGCGGCAUGCUUUACACAUGCAAGUCGAACGGCAGCGGGGUAGUGCUUGCACUACUGCCGGCGAGUGGCGAACGGGUGAGUAAUAUAUCGGAACGUACCGAGUAAUGGGGGAUAACCAAUCGAAAGAUUGGCUAAUACCGCACACGUCCUGAGGGAGAAAGCGGGGGAUCGCAAGACCUCGCGUUAUUCGAGCGGCCGAUAACUGAUUAGCUAGUUGGUGGGGUAAAGGCCUACCAAGGCGACGAUCAGUAGCGGGUCUGAGAGGACGAUCCGCCACACUGGGACUGAGACACGGCCCAGACUCCUACGGGAGGCAGCAGUGGGGAAUUUUGGACAAUGGGGGCAACCCUGAUCCAGCCAUGCCGCGUGUAUGAAGAAGGCCUUCGGGUUGUAAAGUACUUUUGUUAGGGAAGAAAAGGGAAGUGCUAAUACCACUUUUUGCUGACGGUACCUAAAGAAUAAGCACCGGCUAACUACGUG